rnacentral:rRNA from 1 species
CGCCAACACUGGGACUGAGACACUGCCCAGACACCUACGGGUGGCUGCAGUCGAGGAUCUUUCGCAAUGGGCGCAAGCCUGACGAAGCGACGCCGUGUGAGCGAAGAAGGCCUUCGGGUUGUAAAGCUCUUUCGCCUGGGAACAAGAGACUCUAGCGAAUAACUAGGGGAUUUGAGGGUACUAGGUAAAG